rfam:Bacillus sp. MTM 13 1, whole genome shotgun sequence.
UGACCCUUUAAAACAGUCCAGAGAGACUGGCAAGGAAAACGGAUUGCCUGACUAUGCAAUGCAAAGCAUAACCAGCCUUAAAUCCCCAUGCCCUCUCAGGCAUGGGGAUUUUUAUU